AUUGAACGCUUGCGGCAUGCCUUACACAUGCAAGUCGAACGGCAGCACGGGAGCAAUCCUGGUGGCGAGUGGCGAACGGGUGAGUAAUAUAUCGGAACGUGCCCAGUCGUGGGGGAUAACGCAGCGAAAGCUGUGCUAAUACCGCAUACGCUCUACGGAUGAAAGCGGGGGAUCGCAAGACCUCGCGCGAUUGGAGCCGCCCAUAUCAGAUUAGCUAGUUGGUGAGGUAAAGGCUCACCAAGGCGACGAUCUGUAGCUGGUCUGAGAGGACAACCAGCCACACUGGAACUGAGACACGGUCCAGACUACUACGGGAGGCAGCAGUGGGGAAUUUUGGGCAAUGGGCGCAAGCCUGAUCCAGCAAUGACGCGUGCAGGAUGAAGGCCUUCGGGUUGUAAACUGCUUUUGUACGGAACGAAACGGCGAGCUCUAAUACAGUUUGCUAAUGACGGUACCGUAAGAAUAAGCACCGGCUAACUACGUGCCAGCCGCCGCGGUAACAC
rnacentral:rRNA from 1 species